AUGGAAGGCGGCGGAGGAGAAGAAGCCGGCGAUGGCCAGCAAGUCAAGGCUGUCGCGACGACCGGCGGCGGAACACGCGACCGCGGCGGAUCUGGAUCUGGAGGCCCUCGCCGUGCUCUGGCAGCCAGGUUCCGUCCUCGUCCGCCCUCGAAGACCAAUCGGGUUCGGCGGAGCGGCGUCGGAGCAAAAAUUUUCAGGUACCUAGAGCUGGUAGAUGGAGCAGGGGUUGGCGGUGAAGCCGGUGUCGGGCACGUAGGCACUGUACCCUGCGGUGGAGCGGCUCAUGCGGCUGGGCAGGACGGCCCGGCGGCAAGUGCUGGGCAAAACGGCGCACCGGCAGGUGCCGGGCAAGCUGGUCUUGGGGCUGACCAGGACGUCGUGGAGAAGACAAGCAAUUCUACUACUCCGUGA
rnacentral:rRNA from 1 species